ACACGGGGCUAAGCUGGACACCGAAGCGGCGGGAUUUUAAUUCAUUAGAAUCGGUAGGGGAGCUUCCCAUGGGCGGAGAAGCCGGAGGGCGACCGACGGUGGAGCGCAUGGGAGUGAGAAUGCUGGCAUGAGUAGCGAGAGACGAGAGAGUAACUCGUCCGCCGUGAACCCGAGGUUUCCUGGGCAAGGCUAAUCCUCCCAGGGUCAGUCGGGGGCUAAGGCGAGGCCGGGAGGCGUAGCCGACGCGCAGCAGGCAGACAUUCCUGCACCGCGCACGCGGCGCUACGACCGACGGGGCGACGGAUGGGGGUGGCUCGGCGGGGUUCUGGACGUCCCCGUGAUGGAGCGCGGCCCGCGGACCAGGGAAAUCCGGUCCGCAUUGAGGGCGAGGCUCCGGACGAAGCGACUGAGCGAAGCGAGUGAGCCCGAGGUCCCUAGAAAAACCCCUAGGCAGGCGCGUGCGCGCCCGUACCGCAAACCGACACAGGUGGGUGGGUAGAACAUACCGAGGCGAUCGGGUCAACCAUGGUCAAGGAACUCGGCACAAUGGCCCCGUAACUUCGGGAGAAGGGGUGCCCGCGCGUACGUGAACCGGCUCGCCCGGGGAGCGGAGGCGGGCCGCAGUGGAGAGGCCCAAGCGACUGUUUACCAAAAACACAGGACUCUGCAGAAGCCGCAAGGCGACGUAUAGGGUCUGACGCCUGCCCGGUGCCGGAAGGUCACGCGGAGGAGUUAGCCGAUUCGGCGAAGCCCCGAAGCCAAGCCCCGGUAAACGGCGGCCGUAACUAUAACGGUCCUAAGGUAGCGAAAUUCCUUGUCGGGUAAGUUCCGACCUGCACGAAAGGCGCAACGACUUGGGCGCUGUCUCGACCAUGGACCCGGUGAAAUUGCACUGGUCGUGAAGAUGCGACUUACCCGCGGAAGGACGGAAAGACCCCGUGAACCUUCACUGCAGCUUGGCAUUGGCCGCUGGUCCCGCGUGUAGAGGAUAGGCAGGAGGCAUCGAUCCGGAGGCGCCAGCCCCCGGGGAGCCGCCCUUGGAAUACUGCCCUCGCGCGACCGGCGUCCUAACCCGAGGCCGUCAACCGGCUCGGGGACCGUGCCAGGCGGGCAGUUUGACUGGGGCGGUCGCCUCCUAAAGGGUAACGGAGGCGCGCGAAGGUCCGCUCGGGACGGUCGGCAACCGUCCUUUUGAAUGCAAGAGUACAAGCGGGCUUGACUGCGAGGCCCACAAGCCGAGCAGGUGCGAAAGCAGGCUCUAGUGAUCCGGCGG
rnacentral:rRNA from 1 species